rnacentral:rRNA from 1 species
AUUGAACGCUGGCGGCAGGCCUAACACAUGCAAGUCGAGCGAGAGGCGGACGGGUGAGUAAUGUCUGGGAAACUGCCUGAUGGGGGGGGAUAACUACUGGAAACAGUAUCUAAUACCGCAUACCAUCAGAUGUGCCCAGAUGGGAUUAGCUAGUAGGUGGGGUAAAGGCUCACCUAGGCGACGCUCCCUCGCUGGUCUGAGAGGAUGACCAGCCACACUGGAACUGAGACACGGUCCAGACUCCUACGGGAGGCAGCAGUGGGGAAUAUUGUACAAUGGGCGCAAGCCUGAUGCAGCCAUGCCGCGUGUGUGAAGAAGGCCUUCGGGUUGUAAAGCACUUUCAGCGGGGAGGCGUUACCCGCAGAAGAAGCACCGGCUAACUCCGUGCCAGCAGCCGCGGUAAUUC